UAAUACGUAGGGGGCGAGCGUUGUCCGGAUUUAUUGGGCGUAAAGAGCUCGUAGGCGGUUCGGUAAGUCGGAUGUGAAAUCUCCACGCUCAACGUGGAGGGGCCAUUCGAUACUGCCGUGACUCGAGUCCGGUAGGGGAGUGUGGAAUUCCCGGUGUAGCGGUGAAAUGCGCAGAGAUCGGGAGGAACACCCGUAGCGAAGGCGGCACUCUGGGCCGGUACUGACGCUGAGGAGCGAAAGCGUGGGGAGCAAACAGGA
rnacentral:rRNA from 1 species